AUACAUACAGCAGCUGACCCAAAGGUUUACUGCAGGAACCCAUCAGAAAACAAAGGAAAGUCAUAAAUUGGUGCAAUCCUUGCACUGAAGUAACCUGGGACGUAGAGACCUUUUACCCUUCACAUGGGGCUGUAGCAGAGAAGACUCAAAGAUAAUCUGUCACACGAAAUUCCAUCUCACCUCAACACCUCAAGGUGACGUUACCACUAAUCUUGACCAUAGAAAUGUACUCCAUGGAUAGAGCUUCAUCUUACAGUCAUUUGAAAACUGACUAUUCCAAAGUCUGGGGUUUUGUGUGCAAUUAAUUGUAAGAAGAAGAUGAUGUUCCUGACUCAAGACUUUGUCUUGAACCUUUCAAUUACCUGAACUUAUUGACAGUGGGAUUAAAAAGUCUGAAAUUUUCCUUAGAAAUGCGAAUGUUGGAAGAAAGUUUCUUUGCAAAUUCCUGCUGUCUGAAUUUCCAAAAUAGUGCCGGUCCAACAGGUUGUGGGCCUUCAAGAUGGCAGAUAUGUUUCUGCCAUUUGGAAUACUGCCAUAUCUGCUAUUACUUUAGGCAACUUUCCAGUUCAUUGGCAUCAAUAACUCUAAUAUGUUUGAAGGUUAGCCAGCUGGCUCUAAGGCAUUUUGUCCCUGCAAGUCAUCCUACCUCCACUUCUGAUGCUAAAAGAUAUUGAUACAAAGCACCAGCACACUGCUAAACAUGAUACCACCCAUGUGUGCACUUCCAUCCCUCUCCAUGGCCAUUAAACCUUGAGCAGGAUGAGCAGCUGGACCCUGCCUCGGGCACCCCUCAGGGCAGAUCAACAUACCACAGCAGAAGCUGUAAGGGCUCCUCAUUGAAGCUUCCCACUCAAAAAAAAAAAAAAUCCCAGAUGAUAACUUUGGACAUAACCGUGGUCAAAAAACAAGUUCAGCUUUUUACCCUUUGCUGACCCAGUCUUAUCACUCCAGCAUGCACCUGAAAAUACUGUAAUUGUUUUUUUUCUCUCUACAUCUAUCUUUCCUACAAUUAAAUGGCAUAUCUUUGAUAAA